AGGAGCUUUGCCGCAGAUACGUUGCAGCCAUGCUGGCAGUCACCUGGUUUCACUCACAUCGUUUCCAUUCUUCCCCACUCCUUUUUGGUGUCAGUUCAUUUUUCUUCUUUAAUUCCCUGUAACAUACUCAUGGUUGUGUUUCUGAUAUCAAUUUUAUUUUGUAUUACUUUUAUUGUCUCUAAGAUAAGAGCAAAGAUGGCUAACUGUUAUUCUUCAGUUCCCAAGAUACCUCUACUUCCAUGUUUUUAUCUUCACAGUUCUAUGAAGGACCAGAACAGGACUGUCUAUGAACUUUUAAAUUUUAAAUGUGAGCACACAGUUAUGUGGAAAAGGGGAUUACUGGAAGUUAUCAUUUGGCCAAAAUCACAGUUGGUUGUUGGCAAAAGUAGGAUCAGAACCUGGCCUGAACUCACUAUCCUCUCCAAUAAUGCUAGGAAGAUUCUAGAUUGGGAAGCUUAGCUACGUAUUGUCAUACUCAAUUUCCUCUUUGACCCAUGGACUUCAAUUUUUCUCUUCUUGACAAGUUAAAAAAUACUCAGAGACUUGAUCUUACUUACAAGGGACUCAUCUUGUUUUGUUAACAACAGAAAUUCCUUAAAGCAGGAUGUUAAGAAGGAAAAAGAGAGCCUGGAACUCACAGACUCACCAUCUGAUGAGGAAGAGAUAUGAG